rnacentral:rRNA from 1 species
GGGUUGUGAGGUUAAGCGACUAAGCGUACACGGUGGAUGCCCUGGCAGUCAGAGGCGAUGAAGGGCGUGCUAAUCUGCGAUAAGCGCCGGUAAGGUGAUAUGAACCGUUAUAACCGGCGAUACCCGAAUGGGGAAACCCAGUGUGACUCGUCACACUAUCAUUAACUGAAUCCAUAGGUUAAUGAGGCGAACCGGGGGAACUGAAACAUCUAAGUACCCCGAGGAAAAGAAAUCAACCGAGAUUCCCCCAGUAGCGGCGAGCGAACGGGGAGGAGCCCAGAGCCUGAAUCAGCAUGUGUGUUAGUGGAAGCGUCUGGAAAGGCGCGCGAUACAGGGUGACAGCCCCGUACACAAAAGCGCAUGUGCUGUGAGCUCGAUGAGUAGGGCGGGACACGUGGUAUCCUGUCUGAAUAUGGGGGGACCAUCCUCCAAGGCUAAAUACUCCUGACUGACCGAUAGUGAACCAGUACCGUGAGGGAAAGGCGAAAAGAACCCCGGCGAGGGGAGUGAAAAAGAACCUGAAACCGUGUACGUACAAGCAGUGGGAGCACCCUUUUGGGUGUGACUGCGUACCUUUUGUAUAAUGGGUCAGCGACUUAUAUUCUGUAGCAAGGUUAACCGAAUAGGGGAGCCGCAGGGAAACCGAGUCUUAACCGGGCGUUAAGUUGCAGGGUAUAGACCCGAAACCCGGUGAUCUAGCCAUGGGCAGGUUGAAGGUUGGGUAACACUAACUGGAGGACCGAACCGACUAAUGUUGAAAAAUUAGCGGAUGACCUGUGGCU